GCACUGCUGAAGAGUCCCAUACGGGGGCGAAACGGCCGUCCAGUGU
rfam:Schistosoma curassoni strain Dakar, Senegal genome assembly, scaffold: SCTD_scaffold0006772